AUAUCUUUGCGCCAAUCUGGUGAGCCGUAAAAAGCGCUUAAUAGGGAAUCCGGUGAAAAUCCGGAGCAGACCCGCUACUGUAAGCUUCACACAAAGGUUUUUGAAAAUUGUAUCCACUGUUUGCUUGUGCGGAUGGGAAGGAUUUCAAAAACGAAGUAAGUCAGGAGACCUGCCAGAAGUUUAAUAUUUGA
rnacentral:ncRNA from 2 species